rnacentral:rRNA from 1 species
GACGAACGCUGGCGGCGUGCUUAACACAUGCAAGUCGAACGGAAAGGCCCUGCUUUUGUGGGGUGCUCGAGUGGCGAACGGGUGAGUAACACGUGAGUAACCUGCCCUUGACUUUGGGAUAACUUCAGGAAACUGGGGCUAAUACCGGAUAGGAGCUCCUGCUGCAUGGUGGGGGUUGGAAAGUUUCGGCGGUUGGGGAUGGACUCGCGGCUUAUCAGCUUGUUGGUGGGGUAGUGGCUUACCAAGGCUUUGACGGGUAGCCGGCCUGAGAGGGUGACCGGCCCCAUUGGGACUGAGAUACGGCCCAGACUCCUACGGGAGGAAGCGGGGGGGAAUAUUGCACAAUGGGCGGAAGCCUGAUGCAACAACGCCGCGGGCGGGAUGACGGCCUUCGGGUGGUAAACCGCUUUCGCCUGUGACGAAGCGUGAGGGACGGUAAUGGGUAAAGAAGCACCGGCUAACUACGU